UACGUAGGGGGCAAGCGUUGUCCGGAAUCAUUGGGCGUAAAGCGCGUGUAGGCGGCCUUGUAAGUCCGUUCUGAAAGCCCGGGGCUCAACCCCGGGAGGCGGAUGGAUACUGCAAGGCUCGAGUACGGAAGAGGCGAGUGGAAUUCCCGGUGUAGCGGUGAAAUGCGCAGAUAUCGGGAGGAACACCAAUGGCGAAGGCGACUUCCUGGCCUGUUCUUGACGCUGAGGCGCGAAAGCUAGGGUAGCAAACGGG
rnacentral:rRNA from 1 species